UUUUUUUUUUACUACAGGGGACAUACAUAUACUAAAAACUUGUUUAUCUGAUGUUCGAAUUUAACAGGACGUUCUGUAUCUUAACUGACAACACCUGCUUGCUUUUUCAUCAAAUGAUUUAACUUUCCAGAAGAAUCGCGAAAUGGGAGGCAAAGUAACCGGCCUAACCUAAAAGCAGGUGAGGCUCAUAGCAAUCAAUGGGCCUUCCUCCAAACUUGGCCUUUAAAAAAAAAAAACAACAAAAAAACCCCCCACAAAUCCCAGGAGCCUGCGCAUUAAAGCGAGCCGCGCAGCAGCUUUCCCGCCGGUUUUCUGCGGGCAGCAGCACGGCGGCCACGCCGCGGGGUGGAGCGCAUGUGGCCGUGUCCUCGCCGGAUGGGAAAGGAGGUGCCGGAAACUUUGAGCCCCGCCAGAGUACAACGUGUCCACUUAGACGGCGCUGCUACUUCUGGCCAUUGGGACUGAACAUAACCUCGGUGUGUUCCUUCCUCCACGGGACUCAGGGAUUCACAAUGGCAGUUUUUCAGGGAUCUCAAGUAAGCAAGAGAGCCAGUUACUUUGUAUCCUGCCUUCCAAGAGGAGACCCAGUCACCCCUGACAUUUUCAAAGUGGUGCUGGUGAUGGGAGGGGAGCACUGAGUCCCCAUGGGGGCAUCAGCCCAGCUGAGAAGACAGAGUGGGGUUUGCAAACCAGCCCCACGCAGAAAAAGACCUUGUUCUUCCAAGAGCCCAAAGGGGCCUGCAGUCAACAGCCCAGUCUUGGAGUGGAGGCCAGAAAGGGGCGCGGAGUGCAGAACAUCUGGAGGUUUAGGCUGCAGGCCCGGGCCACGCUGCCUGAGUCAGAGGACACGGGGUGUGUGCUGGACGGGGCGGGAGAGCUGCUGGAAGAGAAGGUGCGGGGUGGCUCUGAAUUCACAAACUCUUUCCUUCUCCACUUGAACUCUUUAGGAUGAUAUAAAAAAGCUGAGCGGUGAUGAACUUCACUGAGCAAGAGGAUGGAGAGCUGGGGGCGGGGGGAGGCUGCUGUAUGCGGAGCAGAGAGGCUGUGGACAAGGGGAGGGUCAAGAUGCUUCCCAGACUCGAGGAACGGGCCUGCGCCCAGUUGGUGGGGGCCUCUGGUGGAUUUCAGUUCCUGGCCAGAAAUCCCUGCUUUCAACCUCAGAAGAUACAAGGGGGGCUCAGCAAACCUGGCUGUUGCUCUCCGGCUUUGGCAAACUCGAGAUUUUUCCAACGCCUUGUGUUCAGCGAAACCAAAAAUGUGUUUGGCUAGAAACCCUUGUCUAAUUUUUAAACCCCUGUGCAUUUUUUACGUAAAUUUGAUCCACAUGGUUCUGAUUUAUUUUUAUUUAACUCAUCCAAUUGAAUUAGGAGCUAUAAUGAUGAAUGGGAACAAUGCUGAUUUCCAAGAAGAUUUUUGAGCCUUUUUUCUUAGAACUAAAUCACAUUCCAGGCCCCCUCCACCCCGACCAUUCAAACUACCAGACGGAUCUGGGUUUGAAAUUUAGAACCCAAAUGUGAAAUAAAGAUGCAUGGUUGGCAAAGACGAAGCUCAGCAGGGGACGUUCUCAGGAAGUCACGGUUAGAAAGCCGGGGCAGAC